rnacentral:rRNA from 1 species
AUUGAACGCUGGCGGCAGGCUUAACACAUGCGAGUCGAGCGGAUGAAGGGAGCUUGCUCCUGGAUUCAGCGGCGGACGGGUGAGUAAUGCCUAGGAAUCUGCCUGGUAGUGGGGGAUAACGUCCGGAAACGGGCGCUAAUACCGCAUACGUCCUGAGGGAGAAAGUGGGGGAUCUUCGGACCUCACGCUAUCAGAUGAGCCUAGGUCGGAUUAGCUAGUUGGUGGGGUAAAGGCCUACCAAGGCGACGAUCCGUAACUGGUCUGAGAGGAUGAUCAGUCACACUGGAACUGAGACACGGUCCAGACUCCUACGGGAGGCAGCAGUGGGGAAUAUUGGACAAUGGGCGAAAGCCUGAUCCAGCCAUGCCGCGUGUGUGAAGAAGGUCUUCGGAUUGUAAAGCACUUUAAGUUGGGAGGAAGGGCAGUAAGUUAAUACCUUGCUGUUUUGACGUUACCAACAGAAUAAGCACCGGCUAACUUCGUG